ACCAAAGAAACAAAGAUAGGCCGAAACCCUAGAAAGCAAAACUAAAACCAACUAAAACCCUACUACUGCUACUACUACUAUUGUGGCCUUUACUACUGCAUCAUUUCAUCAAAUCAAACAAACUAAAAUAAAAAAAUCAUAUGGCAUGGCGUGGUUCAAUCUCAAGGACAUUUAUGUCCACCGCCCGAUCUUCAUCUUUCCGAUCAUCUCCUUCCCUCCCCCGCCUCCGUCCUCCGCCGCUUUCCUCCCCCCGCCUCCACUCUCGCCGCUUCACCAACCCCAGGAUGUUGGGAGAAUUAGGAAUGGCGCAAUCUUUGUUACCGCUUGCUGGAGCUAGGAUGACGUCACACCUAAGCUUCAAUGUCCGCGCUUUUUGCGAGCUGUCUCAUGGUACCUUCUGCCGCUCUUGUCAGGAUCGCUAACUAGUAUAUUAGGUUGAAUGGAAAAGAUGGGUGAUAUCAAGGAAUUUCAAGCAUCAAAAGCAAGUACAGACACAUUCCUCAUUGUACUUGACCGGCAGUUGGGUGUUAGAUAAAGAUUGAAAAGAGGUUUGGGACAGUCAUAGUAUGUGGGUUCAUCCAAUGUGGCACUUUGUGUUAAGAAUUGGAACAUUUAAUAAGAAUAGAUAACUAUGUUUGCAUCUUUUUUUCCCAGUUUGAGCACCCUGAAGACUGGUUUCAGACAUUUUUCAUGGUUAGAUUAUAUAUUGCAAUUAAAUGAAACAUUUGACUUACAUCA